UGGCAGCGGAGCCGCUCGAAGCAGGAAGGGAGGUCUGCACAACCCGCUGCGGCUGUAGAGACAGGAGCCGCUGCCUGUGCGCCAACUGUGGAGAGCGGUAGCUACAGCCAGAAAGCAGCAGGAAAAGGAGGAGCUUUCGUUGCCCGAGCUGGUCGGAAAGGCGGGGGGAGGGACUAUGCUUGGAGGUGCCUCCAGUAAAUGAACAAGAUUCCUGAAAAGACAUGGAUGUGUGAUGCUUUUCAUUGGAGUAAUCUACACAGAACAUAAGAUGUGCCACAAAAGGGAAACAAAAAAACUCUGAAGCAUCAGCAGCAAUGGCAGCAGCGGAAAUGGAUGGAUAAAUGGGAGAACAGUGAAGGAAAACAGCAUCUGUGAAACUGAAAAAGGUUCCACACAUACACUUCCAUAUAACAGUUGAAAAGCUAUUCCCAAAUGUGCACAACCCUGGAAAAAUGGAGGAUGAAAAAUGUGCUAGAGACAGACCUCACAAAAAUACAGAAAAAUGGAAGUGUGUAAAUACACCUUUCUAUAUGGCACAUCAAUCAAUUUUUUAAAAAUAGAUACAAGUCAAUUUAAAACUGCAUUUCUGCCUUUAACAUAUACAGACCAUGAGAAAGAGACUCAAAAGCACUUCAAGUGGUACACAUUAACUCUCUCCUAGCACAUGCUUAAUUCUCCCAUUAUAAUAAUGCAUGGGCCCUAAAGGUGCUGGAUCAUAGGCAUUUUAUUAUUUAUCAUAUUUAUAUACCACCUUAUAUGUGCCUCUCUAGGCAGUGUACACAAUUUAAAACAAAACAAUUUAACAGAAUAAAAAGUUAAAACAAUCUAAA